rnacentral:sRNA from 1 species
AAUUAUAAUAAAAAUGGUAAAAGCAAUUAUAUUAUAUAAGAAACCUAAUUGAAAAUGAUUUUUUAAAACAAUUAGCAGAUAUACUUUACAAAUUUAUUAAUUCUUUCCUGGAAAAGAACCGAAGAAUAAAUUUUUAAUAAACCAAAUACUAGUUAAUAAAAUAAAAACAAAAAAUCCCAAAAGUUAGGAGGAUAUUAUAUUAUAAAGUUUAUUAUAUAUUAUCACGCGGAAUAAAUUUUAAAUAUUGUGGAAAACGUUUGACAAUUUGUUUAAAAAAUAGGUUACCAAAUUUGAUAAGUUUUUAACGCUCGGCCAGUAAUAUUAAUAAACAAGCGAGGGCACGGGAUAAAGUUAUACGUUAGUUAUAAAACGCUAAAGGUAAUUUUUGCAACGAACUAUUAUUUUUAUAAUUUUAAAUAACGAAAUGUUGCGCAAAUAUUUAAAUCGCAAGUAACUUAUAAAAUCUAAGGUAAUUUUGGUUAAAAUUAAAAUAGGGCAAAAAUAUAAAACGGAUUUUCAAAUUAAUUACGGGUUAUUCGAAGGGGUAAUAACUUCGCAUUAUUUAUUUAUAGCCCUAAUAAUUUUCCAAAAGAUAUUUAUAUUAUAUAAUAAAAGUAUUAUUAGAUACUAUUUGUAUUAUAUGCGUAAAUAUUAUAUUUACUUUUAAUAAUAAAUUUUGUACUAAUUAUAUCGGCAAAAAAAGAAACUUUAAUAAAAUUUCGUAAAUAUUGCAUUAUUAUCCAGCCAAAGCGGACGUUUACGCCAAAAAAUUAAAUAUUUAAAUUUCGUUAUAAGAACCGGGGUUAGGGUUGGUUAAGUUCUGUAAAAAUGGUACUAAAUGAAAAUUAGAAAAUAUCAAUUUGUUAAAAAAGCGAAGAAGUUUUAUUAUAGUUUUAAAAUCUUAUCAAAUAUAAAUUUUUAAUAUUUUAAUAUAAAGGUAGUUUUAAUAUUAAGUUAAUAUUAGAAAUACGCCGUUCGAAGGAGAAUUCGUAUAAUAAAAUAAAUUUAACGUACUGUAAGAUUAAUUACCAACGCGGUAUUAUUAUAUAAAUUUAAACUGUAUAUAAAUAUAUACUUUAAAAUAAAUUAUAACUAAUCCGCGUUAAAAUUAACAUUAUUAUAUAUAUUAGCGAGGUAAAUAUUAUAGUGGUUUCCAGCUUAUAAAAGUUUAUAGGUUUGCAACGAAACUACCCUAUUUAUAAUAAAAUAAUAUAAGUCGUAUAUACUUUUUUAAUUUAUUAGAAAAUUAUAUAAAGACAAAUAGUAAACUUUCCCAUAUUUACGGAUUAUAAAGAUAUUUAUUAUAUAAUAGGAACGUUAGACAAAUAUAAUAUUGUGCUAAUUUACAAUUUAAUAAUAAAAAGCGUUAUACGACGUUUUUAAUUGCCGCGAAUAAACAAACCGACGGGGAAAAGCCAGGGAAAUUAAUAUUAGUAUUGGACUUUACAAUUACUACCAUAGAAUUUAAAUAUUAUAAUAUUUGCAAAAUGGGUCAUAUAUAUAUAUGGAAAAUAGUUAGUAUGUAAAGAAUUUGAUAUGAAAUAAAUAUAGUAGGAAUUUGCAAGACGCACCCCGAUUUAAAAAAUAAUAUACGCAACGGUUAAAUAAGAAAGGAUAUUUAAACCCAAAAUUAUAAUUACGCAUUUGAAUCUCCGAAUUCUAUAUUAACGAAAACGGAAAAGUUAAAUAUAAAAAAUAUUUUCAAAUAUUUGAUUUAUUCUACAAUAUAAAUAAAUAAACAUGCAAUAUUAAAAGGCAAAAUAAUAUAUAUAUAACAAAUUUGGAAAGCGACUAAUAUAAUAUAAAUAUAUAUAUAAUAUAAUAUUGCAAAAUUAA